rnacentral:tRNA from 1 species
GUAUCCAUGGCUGAAUGGUUAAAGCGCCCAACCAUAAUUGAUAAUUUUGCGAGUUCAAUUCUUGUUGGAUGCA